rnacentral:rRNA from 1 species
UACGUAGGGGGCAAGCGUUGUCCGGAAUCAUUGGGCGUAAAGAGCGUGUAGGCGGCUCGGUAAGUCCGCUGUGAAAGUCCAGGGCUCAACCCUGGAAUGCCGGUGGAAACUGUCGAGCUAGAGUCCGGAAGAGGCGAGUGGAAUUCCUGGUGUAGCGGUGAAAUGCGCAGAUAUCAGGAGGAACACCGAGGGCGAAGGCAGGUCUCUGGGCCACUACUGACGCUGAGAAGCGAAAGCAUGGGGAGCGAACAGG